AGACUGCAAAAUGUUUUCGUAUUUGAUCUUGACUUGUUGCCAGGUUCUUUUUUUGCCCAGUCACAUUGGUUCUGUAUGAACAUUAAUUGUAGGAAGAUAUUUAGAAUUAGACAUAGCUUUUAGAACUUUGUGCACAUGGUUGUAAAACAUAUUCUCGCAUUGUGAAUAAGGGUUUGAAAUUAAGCCUAGUCUUUAUUGUAAAUUUCCCGAGGAACAUUAAUUCCCUCUGCUCACUUUUAUGGCAAAGUAGGCUAAAUAAUAAAAUGCUAUUUAUAUUGUGCUUUACAUGUUAGGCUACUCAAAGACACUUUACAGUACAACCAGCACAUUUAGCACACAAGAUACAGCACUGAAACCAACACAUAAAACAAGCAUAUUAAAAGCAAUUAAAACAGUGUACAACUUUGCUAGCAUGUAGAUAUUUUUAAAUCCUUACGCAUUCAGUCGGUCCGCUAUUGUCUGCCAUGCUUUUUCUCUCUGUUUAAUAACAGCAGCCGUAUUUCCUUUUCUGCAUAUUAUAUGCUUUACCUCCUCGUAACUUUCCAUAAUUGCUGCUCAGCGGGUGAAAAAUAUGCCGCACGCGUCUUCUCCAUCUCUGCAUCAGUAAAUCUGUGAUCGAUACCGUGGUCUGUUUAAGAAAGUGCACUUAUCCCCACUAUCUACACCUGGCUUGACAUAGCUUCACCUUCUCAUCCUGGCUUGGUAAACGUGCAACCGAUUACGCCGCGAUGCGCGUUAUCCUGGAUUUCUUCAUUCUACUAUUGUGCAACAGGCCCCCGGUUUAGAGUCCAUCAAGGGCAAAAAUAUUUACCACAUCUAAUUGCGAGCCGGCUGAACUUGGCUUACCUGGUUCCUUUUCUGGUUCUAUGCUUCACCUCAGAUGGACGAACCUGUGAUUUGUUCGUGUUCAGUAGUUAUCUGAGGAUCACACUUCAAACAGUGCAGAUUGAUGGAUGCAGCAGGAAAUCAACCAGAUUCAAGAUGGACAGAAGGGGGCAGAGAAGUACUUCAACACAUAUUACCAUUGUUAUUGAGAAAUAUUCUAUGCAAACAAUAUUUAUUCAGCUAUCAAUUUGCCUGCUGAGAUCAGAUAUUUGUGUCAGUAAUUAAGAUCUGAAGUUGUCUGGUUGAUCAGCAUCUGUCUCCUAGGAUACUUUUGGUUGUUUUUGAGUUGUCCAGAUGAACACAGGUAGGGCUAAUUUAGGGGUAAAUUCCAUUGGGAUCUCACAGAUCCUUGAUGUCUCAAUAGCUGUAAUAUUGUUCUGUAUGUCCAGUCUCUCCUGUUAACAGACAAAAGCCACAUAACAAUCCUCUUUGUCUUGUAAGACUCACUUGUGCUAGUCCUUUAAAGCACCAAAUAAGUCCAAAUGAUGUAUAAAGGUAAUAUGCCAAACAAGACAUUUACUGGAUGUUAUUUUUGAAAGGUACUGAUCAGUGAACAGAUGUGAACGAAUUUUGAAGGCAUUCAGAAUUAUACAAUCAUAUGUGGAGGGUGAGAAUAAAAGCUGAUGGGGUUUGUGCAAUGAUUUUAUAAUGAACAUGGAUUUAUAGUUGAACAAAUACUUAUUUCACUCAUUAAAAUGCAAAUCAAUUCAUAAAUUUUUUACAGUUCAAAUAAACCUACCAUUAAAAUUAUAGACUGAUCAUUUCUUACAAAAUCAGCAGGGGAUCAAAUACAUUUUUCCCUCACUGUAUCUACAGUUCCAAUGUUUGCCAAACUAGAUGUAGAGAAGAGAUGAGCAGAGGUCUGAGUGCAGUAUAGUAC
ensembl:lncRNA